AGCCUCUCAGGGUCACACCUGGAGAGUUUCCAAUACUCUACCAGCCUCGACUACGGGAGGGAGAGUCAAGCAGAGGCCUAACCAUUCCAUUCCCAGCUUGGCCAGUAGUUAGGAAGUGGAAGGCAAUCCGCUACAAGU